rnacentral:rRNA from 1 species
UAGUUCGAUCAUGGCUCAGGAUGAACGCUGGCGGCAUGCCUAAUACAUGCAAGUCGAACGGAGUGAAGCCUUCGGGUUUCAUUCAGUGGCGAACGGGUGAGUAAUACGCAGGGAACCUGGCCAUGGCAGGGGGAUACACUCUGGAAACGGAGCAUAAGACCCCAUAGGCAGUAAGGCGGCAUCGCCUUACUGUUAAAGAAAGCUGAAAGGCUUUGGCGAUGGAUGGACCUGCGGUGCAUUAGCUUGUUGGUGAGGCAACGGCUUACCAAGGCGAUGAUGCAUAGCCGGCCUGAGAGGGCGGACGGCCACACUGGGACUGAGACACGGCCCAGACUCCUGCGGGAGGCAGCAGUAGGGAAUUUUCGUCAAUGGGCGCAAGCCUGAACGAGCAAUGCCGCGUGAGUGAGGAAGGUCUUCGGACUGUAAAGCUCUGUUGCCGGGGAAAAAGGGGAAAUGCAGGAAAUGGCAUUUCAUGGAUGGUACCCGGCCAGAAAGCCACGGCUAACUACGUGCCAGCAGCCGCGGUAAUACGUAGGUGGCGAGCGUUAUCCGGAAUGAUUGGGCGUAAAGGGUGCGCAGGCGGUCUGUUAAGUCUGAAGGCAAAGGGAAGAGCUCAACUCUUCUUUGAUUCAGAAACUGGCAGACUUGAGGACAGGAGAGGGCGGUGGAACUCCAUGUGUAGCGGUAAAAUGCGCAGAGAUAUGGAAGAACACCAGUGGCGAAGGCGGCCGCCUGGCCUGUGACUGACGCUGAGGCACGAAAGCGUGGGGAGCAAAUAGGAUUAGAUACCCUAGUAGUCCACGCCGUAAACGAUGAGGAGCAGGUGUUGGGAGUGAAAUCUCAGUGCCGAAGCCAACGCAGUGACUCCUCCGCCUGGGGAGUAUGCACGCAAGUGUGAAACUCAAAGGAAUUGACGGGGGCCCGCACAAGCGGUGGAGUAUGUGGUUUAAUUCGAAGCAACGCGAAGAACCUUACCAGGUUUUGACAUCGGAUGCGAAGGCGCAGAGAUGCGCUGGAGGCUAUCAUCCAGACAGGUGGUGCAUGGUUGUCGUCAGCUCGUGUCGUGAGAUGUUCAGUUAAGUCUGGCAACGAGCGCAACCCCCGUGGUAUGUUACUAACGCAUUUGGGCGAGGACUCAUAUCAGACUGCCGGUGACAAACCGGAGGAAGGCGGGGAUGACGUCAAAUCAUCAUGCCCCUUAUGACCUGGGCUACACACGUACUACAAUGGCGUCUACAGAGGGAAGCGACCCUGAGAAGGGAAGCGAAACCGGAAAAGGGCGUCCCAGUUCGGAUUGAAGUCUGCAACCCGACUUCAUGAAGAUGGAAUCGCUAGUAAUCGCGGAUCAGCAUGCCGCGGUGAAUACGUUCCCGGGCCUUGUACACACCGCCCGUCAAACCAUGGAAGCCGGCAACGCCCGAAGCCGGUGGCAUAACCUUUUAGGAGUGAGCCGUCGAAGGCGGGGCCGAUGACUGGGGUUAAGUCGUAACAAGGUAACC